rnacentral:misc_RNA from 1 species
GUAGGUGAACCUGCGGAAGGAUCAUUAACAAAUCAUUGAGCGAUGAGCUCAACAUUUACUCUGGGGGGUGUUUGGGUUUAAUCUCUCUAUCCAUCCCCCCAUUGUACAUUUACGCUUGUAUUGUCUGACUGUAUCAAUGAAAUCUAUAAUAAAAAGACAACUUUUAACAAUGGAUCUCUUGGCUCUU